rnacentral:piRNA from 1 species
UCGGUGGCUACCUGCAAUCCCCAUUGCCC